GACUCAGACUCCUCUGAGCCUCCUACCUACAUGGUUCAGAAGUCCACAGCUUCCCUCUGUCGUUCUGCUAGAGCCUGCUAGCUCCUGUUUCCACCCCAUCCUGGCAGGCCCUACAGGUGUAUCCUGCUUGAGGGCCACUUAUUUUGAAGAUGGUGAAAGACAAACUGCUGGAGUGGCCUGUUCAGCCUGGAGGAGACUGAGGGGAGACCUCAUUGAACUCUACAAUUUCCUCUUGAGGAGAAGAA